UACGUAGGUGGCAAGCGUUGUCCGGAAUUAUUGGGCGUAAAGCGCGCGCAGGUGGUUCCUUAAGUCUGAUGUGAAAGCCCACGGCUCAACCGUGGAGGGUCAUUGGAAACUGGGGAACUUGAGUGCAGAAGAGGAAAGUGGAAUUCCAAGUGUAGCGGUGAAAUGCGUAGAGAUUUGGAGGAACACCAGUGGCGAAGGCGACUUUCUGGUCUUUUAGUGACACUGAGACGCGAAAGCGUGGGGAGCAAACAGG
rnacentral:rRNA from 1 species